GUCGACUUUGCUUUUGCAGUUAUAGUUUAAAAUAGAACAGUUAUAGAGCUAGCAGGUAUAGCUGUAGUGUUAAAGGGCACACCCAUAUACCUGCCAUACCUAUAUGUCUAUUUUUAUAUGGUAGACUUUACUUUUGCAGCUAUAGCUUAAAAUGAAACAGUUAUAAUGCUCUCCGGUAUAUCUGGAGUGUUAAAGGGUACACUCAUAUACUUGCCACAUCUAUAUGAACAGUUCUAUAUGCUAGACUUUACUUUUGCAAUUAUAGUUUUGAAUGUAACAGUGAUAAGCAAGUGUUGUACAUCUAAAGCGAUAUAGGGAACACCCAUAGAUCCGUGAAUGAAAUGUCCCCACUUGUUGGGUGCGACCUGUUUUACCUAUUUGAGUCUUCUGGCAGGUAAGGCACAAUAUAGAAACAUCUAUAAAUAAGAUUAUAUAUUUGCCUUAUAGAAAAUUCUUUUACUCCACAUUUUAUUUUCAUAGAUCUCAAUUAUUUCGUUAUCUCUUAGUAGUUUUCAUAUUUACCACUAAUUCCUCUCGUCCCAACAACACUUACUGCUUCAUUCCCUGUAUUCUUGACAAUUUAGAUACUGAUAACUUAUUGAAUAGUGCAGCAUGGGUGUUCGUCGCUGCCUAUGAAAUUGAUAACGAUUGCUCACAGAUUGCUGUAGCUAGUCUGCUUGUACAACGGAUAGGUAGCCAACCCUCAGAUCUACAAUUUGCAGAAGGUGGUGCAGGAAGUUAUAUCGUUUUCGUUCCUAUUGAGAAAAGUCGUCAGAAAGCUAUUUGUCUUUUCCCAAUAAGGAAUGAUAUAUUAACGAUCACAGUCACUCCAUUGGGAAGCCAGCCAUCAUACAGCCACACAAACAUUUUAGUACUUUGUAUGGAUUCGCCAACGAAAUUUACCGCUCUAUUGCCAUCAGUAUCAAGAGUUAACAACUAUUAUUUCGAACUUUGGCAGAUACAUAUGGACCGAUAAGCGCAGCCGUCUUGGUAAAAAUCUAAACUACUAUCGUCUCUUAAUAAAAUGUAUUACUCCUCGCAUCAUACCAAAAUAUAUUAUACUCUAUUUAGGGAAUAGAAAAUGGACAAUUUUUGUUAAGAUUGAGUCAUGGGAAUCUUUCCCUCCAACUGAAAGCCCAUGAUGUACUGUAUAUUGUACCACCUGCAUCGCAUAUUUUAUGACAAGUUUUAAUCUAAUAUUAAGUUUGGCUCAUUGUUUUCAAAUAUAUAGUUUUAAUCUUGUAUAUUAUGUUUUGUCAACCAUAGUUAAAAAUGCACUGGGUUUGACUGUUCCCGUGCCGCUUUGGCAGUGCCGAAAUAUUGUACAGGUGUUUCAAGAUACAUUUAUCACUGUACAAUAUAUCAGUUUAAGUGUUCAUCAUAUAGAUCGGUUCAAAUAUACUGUACUUCCAAAGUUAUCAAUCUGAAAUUAAAUCAAAAAGCAUACUUUUAUUUUAUAGAGGUCGCAAGUACAUCUAUAGUUUUAAAGGUCACACCCAUAUACCUGCUAUAUCUAUAUGUCCACUUCUAUAUGGUAGGCUUUACUUUUAUAGGUAUAACUUAAAAUGAAACAGUUAUACUGCUUCCCGGUACAUCUGUAGUGUUAAAGGGUACACCUAUAUACCUGCGACACCUAUAUGUCCACUUCUAUAUAGUAGGCUUUGAUUUUGGUGCUAUCCCUUAAAAUAGAAUAGUUGUAUAGAUGGAUCAUCUAUAUGUCUACAACUAAGGAACUUUUACUUGUGCCCUACAUCAGUUCAAGUGGUAACAUAAUUUUAUCAAAUUUUUGUCAUACCAAAUUUAUACAUUUGAACCUAAAUCAUAAUAAACAUUCAUUGUAAACAUUUACAAAUGCAAACUUGAAUGCACCCUUAAUGCAUCAUAAAGAGAAACUUCAAUAAUCAUAAUGCUGCUAAAGUGCACCGUAAUUACAGAUGGACAUACAAUGAACUUGCGAAACUAAUUCGAAUAUGGAUAAUAACUCAUAUAAGAUAUAAUUUGAGAAAAAGAUAUCACAAUAGAUGAACACAUUACAUCAAUGAACACAUUACAUCACGGUUAUGAUUAAACAGAAUACAAGAUAACAAAUAUGUCAGGGCAACUCGACAAUAUCCAAUCAGCUCAAUCUUUACAAAGUCUACCACGACAACAUCCAAGCAACUCGCGAACAUCUUUACAAAGUUUACCACGAACUAUAUAUCUUAGACUACACGUGAUUACAUAGCAUAAUACAGUUCAAUACAGUCACAAGCAACUCGACAACAUCCAAGCAACUCGCGAAUAUCUUUACAAAGUCUAUCACGAAAUAUAUAUCUCAGAUUUUACGUGAUUACACAGUAUAAUAUAGUUCAAUACAGUCACAACUGCACAAUCAUAUAACAUUCAAACAUCAUUUUUUGGGACAGCGGACUCAAUCAUAGAAUUAUAAGUCACACAGUAUGAAUCCUUUAAUAUCGCACUGACCAUAUGUGCACAGAAACAGUGGGGGUCAUUCUCAUACAAUAGUAGAUCGGGGAGGCCGUUUCUUACGAGUCGUUCGACAAAAAGGCAUGUGUACAUGCCACUUUGGAAGAUGUGCUCAAAAUAGGACGAAAACCGCUUCGCAUGUCCAAGAAAAAAAAAAGGUAAAUAAAUUAAAACGAGUGGAUAGUAGAUGUUACUGCCGAGUGAAUAAAUAACUAAAACACUUUGUCUACUGUCAAGAAUAAAUUAAUGUCAGCAGUUGUGCCGCGUCCUUUGCCCCACUGUGAUUCCAUAAUGAAUUCCAACUCUCAAAACACCCUUCCUUCAAAUCAAUUAAUAGUAAAUGCCAAUGCCAAUUACUAUGCAAAGGAAUAAGUACAAAUCUAUUCUUGCUGCAGAUAUGUGUAUUUAUUUUUUCCAGAAAGUGCCGUAUAGAUGCGCAUCCAAAAGUCACAUCUCUGACAAAAUCAGCUGUUAGUGGCUCAUCUUCUCCAAUUCCCUGUAUCUUAUUGAGUACGUCCAUCUGCAUAGAGAAAGAAAUCAAGUUAGCAAGAUGCCUUACGAAAAGUUGCGGGAAACUCAAAUGCAAGUAUUUGGAUGGUUAACAUUUUCACAGAUUAUGGAACAGGACCUAAUAAAUAUUAUUCAACAAAUUGGAAUUCGGACUUCAACAGAUUUUAUCUUCUAUUUUAACUCACUUUUAUAUUUCUUUUAGUUCGCUUGAUACAGAAAUAGAGAACAAGAGAGAAAUAGAGAACAACUAAUCUAAUAAUGAAAGUAUCAAACUCACCGCAACUUCAUUUCGGCAGGAAAUACCAGGUUGACUAAAUUUAUGUAUAUCCAUACAAUCUAGCUUAUCAAUUAUGGAAAUAUACAUUAAUCACCUAAAUAAGAAAGUCAGCAAAAUAAAAAGAAUUAGAAUAAUAUAUGGAUAGUCCAUAUNUACCUCCAAUAUUCAAUACGAAUGUACAGCCAUUUUUAAACACUUAAAAGUAUUAAAUUUAAUUGGGAAGUAAGUGUUUUACCAUUGUAUGUUUUCUUAAAGAAUGUACCUAAUUCAACACUACAACUAUAUUGUCAGAAGGAGUGACAGUUAUAGGGGCGGUAAGGUGCAUCUGUAUUGUUGAGGGGCACACCUAUAUACUUGUCACUUUCAUACGGUAGGGUUUGCUUUUGCACAUCAUAGUAUAAAAUAAAAUAUUUAUAGUAGUGCCACGAUACAUCUGCAGUGCCUACUUUUAUAGAGUAGACAUUAUUUUUACAGUUAUAACUUAAAAUAGAACAGUUAUAGAGGUCGAAGGUACAACUGUAGUGUCAGAGAGCACAACCAUAUACCUGCCACUUUCAUAGGGUAGGAUUUGCUUUCGCAAAUUAAAGUAUAAAAUGGAAUAUUUAUAAUAGUGUCAAGAUACAUCUGCAGUGCCUAUUUUUAUAGAGUAGACUUUGCUUUUGCAGUUAUAACUUAAAAUAGAACAGUUAUACAGGUCGCAUGUACAGUUGUAGUGUUAAAGGGCACACCCAUAUAUUUGCCACAUAUAUAUGUCCACUUUUGUAUGGUAGACUUUACUUUUGCUGUUAUAACUUAAAAUAGAACAGCUAUAGAUGUAGCAGAUACAUCUAUAGUGUUAAUAGGCACAGCCAUAUACUUGCCAUUUUCAAACGGUAGGGAUUGCUUUUGCAUCUUACUGUAUAAAAUGAAAUAUUUAUAGUAGUGCCAAGGUAUAUCUGCAGUGCCCACUUUUAUAGAGUCGACUUUGCUUUUGCAGUUAUAGUUUAAAAUAGAACAGUUAUAAAGCUAGCAGGUAUAGUUGUAGUGUUAAAGGGCACACCCAUAUAUCUGCCAUACCUAUAUGUCUAUUUUUAUAUGGUAGACUUUACUUUUGCAGCUAUAGCUUAAAAUGAAACAGUUAUAAUGCUCUCCGGUAUAUCUGGAGUGUUAAAUGGUACA
rnacentral:lncRNA from 1 species